UGUAGGUCAUGCAGGAGUCUCUGCCAGCAUGAUGAAGAAAAGAACUUCCCACAAAGAAAGGAGUGUAUGAUGGGAAGACUAUCAGAG